rnacentral:misc_RNA from 1 species
GGAAGGAUCAUUGUGGAAAUUACAAAACAACAAUUAUGUUGGCAAGUAGGUUUUGUGGGGAGAGAGAAGAGGGGAAGAGUUUGAUUUGAUGACGUGAAUGGGAAGCAAGCAUCUCGCUUGUUCUCAUUCCCUCCCCUCUGCUCUUUUCUCGACAAAAUAUAUAAACGAUGAAGAAUACAAAGCAAAGUAAAAGCAAAAAAAAUGACAACUUUUAACAAUGGAUCUCUAGGCUCUUGCAACGAUGAAGAACGCAGCCAAAUGCGAAAAGUAUUGUGACAUGCAUUGUUUGUGAAUCAAUCAAUCUUUGAACGCACCUUGCGCUCUGAACGUCCAAGCGUUCCGAGCAUGUUUGUUUGAGUGUGGCAUGUACGGCAUCAGGCAACCAGUCCGAAGCACUAAGAUCCCUGCCCCCUGCCACCUGUGGGAGGUUUAUGGUUUUAUAGAGCCGCCACCUGUGGGAGGUUUAUGGUUUUAGAGCUUUGGAGUUGGGUGCAUGGAGUUGAGUGGACUCUUGGGAGAGGUUGAGAGCUGAGAGCCACUUGAAAUAGAGUGCGUUGCCCGAGUCUGUACCCGCUCCAAGGCGAGUUUCAAGUUCAUGGGAUGAUAUAGAUAUAAAAUGUCAUGAGCAAAGGAACACGCAUGAGCUGGGGCCUUUAAAGGAAAAAAGAGAUUCUUUUUCUCAAAGGAGGCGCAAUGGACAUGGACAACAACGCAACAACGCAUCAUCAUCCAUCACUUAUUUAUAUAUGCAUCUAUUGAUAUAUGUAUCUAUGCAUCUAUUGAUAUAUGUAUCUAUGAUAUAAUGAUCUAAUGAUCUAAUGAUACCCGCCUCAAAUCAAGCAAGAAGACCUGCUGAACUUAAGCAUAUCAGUAAGCAGAGGAAAAGAAACUAACUAGGAUUCCCAUAGUAACGGCGAGUGAAGUGGGACCAGUUCAAAUUUGAAAUCUGAUUCUCUUGAGGGAAUCCGAAUUGUCAAAUCAAGAUAAGAAUUUUGGGAUCUUUUUUUUUUCAUUUUGUUUAAAUCCUUUGGAACAAGGUAUCAUAGAGGGUGAUAAUCCCGUCUAGGCAAAAAGUGAAAAGAUUCAUUUAAAUGAUUUCUUAUCCAAGAGUCGAGUUGUUUGGGAAUGCAACUCUAAAUGGGUGGUACAUAUCAUCUAAAACUAAAUAUAGGCAAGAGACCGAUAGCGAACAAGUACCGUGAGGGAAAGAUGAAAAGCACUUUGAAAAGAGAGUCAAAAGUACGUGAAAUUGUUAAAAGGGAAACGUUUAGGUGUUGGCAUGAAGAAAAAGAGUUUCAUGAUUCAGUGAUCUUUACAAUAGAGAGAAAUGAAUUCUCUUGAGAGAGAGAAUAUAAUAUAUCUUUAUUGUUUUUGGUCAUUCAAUUCAAGGAAUCUUUUGUUGACCAUGGUAUUCAAUUUGGAAAAGACAUCAAGUUGAAAAGAUGUCAUGAUUGAUUUUCAACAUGACACUCUUGAUUGGGAUACAAAUUGGAUUAAAUGUAAAUAUGUAAAUAUUUGUCAAUUAGCUGCACCUUAACGACCCGUCUUGAAACACGGACCAAGGAGUCUAACAAGGAUGCGAGUAUUUGAGUGAUAAACUCGAAAUGCAUAAAGAAAUUGAAAUUCAUGGGAAGAAAAGUGGGUUCAUCACAUGGUCAUCUUUUUGGUGAGAUUGGUGAUGAAUUGGAUUUUCAGCAGCAUGAACCUAUCCUUUUAUGAGGAUGGCGUUAGAGCAUUCUUGUUAGGACCCGAAAGAUGGUGAACUAUGCCUGAAUAGGGUCAAGCCAGAGGAAACUCUGGUGGAGGCUCGUAGCGGUUCUGACGUGCAAAUCGAUCGUCAAAUUUGGGUAUAGGGGCGAAAGACUCAUCGAACCAUCUAGUAGCUGGUUCCCUC